rnacentral:rRNA from 1 species
ACUGCUCAGUAACACGUGGACAACCUGCCCUUAGGACGGGGAUAAACCCGGGAAACUGGGUAUAAUACCCGAUAGGUCUCGAUUGCUGGAAUGCAUCGAGAUUUAAAGCUCCGGCGCCUAAGGAUGGGUCUGCGGCCUAUCAGGUAGUAGUGGGUGUAGCGUACCUACUAGCCUACGACGGGUACGGGUUGUGAGAGCAAGAGCCCGGAGAUGGAUUCUGAGACACGAAUCCAGGCCCUACGGGGUGCAGCAGGCGCGAAAACUUUACAAUGCUGGCAACAGCGAUAAGGGAACCUCGAGUGCCAGGUUACAAAUCUGGCUGUCGAGAUGCCUAAAAAGCAUUUCAUAGCAAGGGCCGGGCAAGACCGGUGCCAGCCGCCGCGGUAACACCGGCGGCUCGAGUGGUAACCGUUAUUAUUGGGUCUAAAGGGUCUGUAGCCGGCCGGAUAAGUCUCUUGAGAAAUCUGGCAGCUUAACUGUCAGGCUUUCAGGAGAUACUGUCUGGCUCGAGGCCGGGAGAGGUGAGAGGUACUUCAGGGGUAGGGGUGAAAUCUUGUAAUCCUUGAAGGACCACCAGUGGCGAAGGCGUCUCACCAGAACGGACCUGACGGCAAGGGACGAAAGCUAGGGGCACGAACCGGAUUAGAUACCCGGGUAGUCCUAGCCGUAAACGAUACUCGCUAGGUGUCGGCCACGGUGCGACCGUUGUCAGUGCCGUAGGGAAGCCGUGAAGCGAGCCACCUGGGAAGUACGGCCGCAAGGCUGAAACUUAAAGGAAUUGGCGGGGGAGCAC